ensembl:snoRNA
UGUAUAUGAACGGUCUCUUGUUCAAGGACAGUGCCCUAGAAAUUCAAUAUCUGGCAUUGUUGGUUUUCUUGGCUUUGUCCAUAGUAAACCUGGUAUUUCUGUUAAAACAGCA